AUGGUAUCUCCCAUGCUCUUCUCCAUUGUCAUCGAAUCUCUCAACUCCCUGCUGCAGCAUGAUGUGUCUACCGGCAUGCUACAUCGGCUGACCACUAGGCACGCUGCCUCGAGCAUCUUCCUCUUUGCCGAUGACAUCAUCAUCUUCGAUCACCCAGACCCUCUCGAGCUUGCCACAAUUCACGAGCUGCUACACGUGUUCAGUGAUGCGUCCAGCCCGUGCACUAACUUCUCCAAGUGCUCUGCCACUCCUACCCAGUGCCUCGCUGAGGCUACCGGCGCGAUCGCUACUGAGCUCUCCUGCACUGUGUCCAACUUCCCCAUCCUCUAG
rnacentral:rRNA from 1 species